AAUUUGCUUACAAUGCGCGAGAUUGCACGAGAUGAAAAUGGAUGUACUACAAAGAGAUGCACAUCGACUAGAAUGUAUAAAUAAUUUAUUUAUACAGACACAAUCCGUCUAUAGAGAUACCACCGAUGGCGAUAGUGAAAGACGCUUACGAGCGGAAAGUGGAUACGUGGAUAAGGCACUAAAUUCGUUUGGAAUUCAGUGAGGUCGACAUUCAGGGCUCCAUCGAAUCGUAAACUGGCGGUGAUGGAUGAGACUAUUUGUCCAAUCAGCCGAUUCAGAUUCGUAUAGGGCACUUGCCUACUACUGUUGGCUCAAGAUCGAUCAAAACUGCUCGUGGGACAUGCUUUCCUGAACCCGUUUCUGAGAAGAACGCAUUAAAGGAAUCAUCUCCGGAGCCUAUAGUAACAUCUGCUGG